AACGAACGCUGGCGGCAUGCCUAACACAUGCAAGUCGAACGAGACCUUCGGGUCUAGUGGCGCACGGGUGCGUAACGCGUGGGAAUCUGCCCUUGGGUUCGGAAUAACAGUGAGAAAUUACUGCUAAUACCGGAUGAUGUCUUCGGGCCAAAGAUUUAUCGCCCAGGGAUGAGCCCGCGUAGGAUUAGCUAGUUGGUGGGGUAAUGGCCUACCAAGGCGACGAUCCUUAGCUGGUCUGAGAGGAUGAUCAGCCACACUGGGACUGAGACACGGCCCAGACUCCUACGGGAAGCAGCAGUGGGGAAUAUUGGACAAUGGGCGCAAGCCUGAUCCAGCAAUGCCGCGUGAGUGAUGAAGGCCUUAGGGUUGUAAAGCUCUUUUACCCGGGAUGAUAAUGACAGUACCGGGAGAAUAAGCUCCGGCUAACUCCGUG
rnacentral:rRNA from 1 species